rnacentral:rRNA from 1 species
CACGUAGGGUGCGAGCGUUGUCCGGAAUUAUUGGGCGUAAAGAGCUCGUAGGCGGUGUGUCGCGUCGGCCGUGAAAACCUGCAGCUUAACUGUGGGCUUGCGGUCGAUACGGGCAUCACUGGAGUUCGGCAGGGGAGACUGGAAUUCCUGGUGUAGCGGUGAAAUGCGCAGAUAUCAGGAGGAACACCAGUGGCGAAGGCGGGUCUCUGGGCCGAUACUGACGCUGAGGAGCGAAAGCGUGGGGAGCGAACGGG